AGGGGAGCGUUCUUCCCAAGAUUGCAUAUAAAUAAAUAUGGCCCUGUGGCGCAGUUGGUUAGCGCGCCGCCCUG
rnacentral:tRNA from 1 species